NNNNNNNNNNNNNNNNNNNNNNNNNNNNNNNNNNNNNNNNNNNNNNNNNNNNNNNNNCAGGGACAAGGACAGGGACAGGGACACCACAACGCUGAGCCACAGAUAAUUCCACAAUCCCUCAUUAUUUUUUUAACCGAUUCCCAAUAAAACCCCCCCAAAUUCAGCUUUUCCUCGUCUCGGGGGACGCUCCGCUCUGGGGACAGCCGGAAACCUCAACACCCCCUCUGUCCCCAAGGCGUGCGACAUCCCUGUCCCCUGUCCAGCACAAACAAAACUAUUCUGGGCCGUGACCUGCGACAAACCUCAGCCCACACGCGACAAUUACGGCGUGGCCAUCCCCGCCACCGGCCACAUCCCGGCACGGCCACCUCCGGAGCGGCUCCGGCUGUCCCCGCGUGUCCCCGCGUGUCCCCUCCGGCAUGGACCCCGCGGUGCCCAGGGCCACCCUGAAGGUGCUGGCGCUGUGCGCGGCGCUGCUGCUGCUGGUGGCGGCGGUGACAGUGGCGGUGGCGGUGUCGCUGUGGCGCUCCGAGGCGCUGGGGAAGCUGCGGGGGUGCCGGGAGCGAGCGGCCAACGAGAGCCGGGAGCUCGGGGAGCGCCUGGAGGAGCUGGAGCGGCAGCGGGAGAGGCUGCAGAGGGACGGGGACGCGCUGCGCAGGGAGCUGGCGCGGGCACGAGGUGACAGCAGGAGGGACAAUGACAGCCUGGUGUCCUGCCGAGAGCGGGCGGUAGGUGGCCGGAGGAGGGGGGGUGGGAAAUGGGAUGGAAAAUGGGAUGGGGACAUCUCUUGUCCCCUCACCACUGUCCCCUGUCCCUGUAGGUGGGCGGAGGGGUGGUGGUGGUCACUUCGGGAUGGAAAACGGGGUGAGGACACCCUUUGUCCCCUCACCAGCGUCUCUUGUCACCGUAGGUGGCCGGAGAAUGGGGACAAGGAGGUGCUUGGUCAGUUUGGGAUGGAUAAAGGGAUGGGGACACCUCUUGUCCCCUCACCACUGUCCCCUGUCCCUGUAGGUGGGCGGAGGGGUGGGGACAGAGCUGUCCCUGGUCAGUUCGGGAUGGAAAAUGGGAUGGGGACAUCUGUUGUCCCCUCACCUCCAUCCCUUGUCCCCGUAGGUGGCCGGAGGGGUUGUGGUGGUCACUUUGGGAUGGAAAAUGCGGUGGGGACAUCUCUUGUCCCCUCACCACUGUCCCCUGUCCCCAUAUGUGGCCGGAGGGGUGGGGACAGAGCGGUCCUUGGUCACUUCGGGUGGAAAAGGGGUGGGGACACCUCCUGUCCCCUCACCACUGUCCCCUGUCCCUCCCUCCCUGUCCGGCAGCCAAGGUCAGGGGGCCGCUCCAUCCCUGUGGGAAUUCCCACCGGGAAACGGGUACGGCCAGCUGGGGGGCACGGCCGCCACAUCCCUGCAGGGGACACCCCAAAAAUGAUCCCUGGAUGCUCCCGGGGUGGCACAGCCUUCGGGGGACACCCCAAAAAUGAUCCCUGGAUCCUCCCGGGGUGGCACAGCCUUCGGGGGACACCCCAAAAGGGAUCCCUGGAUCCUCCCGGGGUGGCACAGCCUGCAGGGGA
ensembl:lncRNA